rnacentral:rRNA from 1 species
GAUGAACGCUGGCGGCGUGCCUAAUACAUGCAAGUCGAACGCAUAGCGAAAGGUGCUUGCACCUUUCAAGUGAGUGGCGAACGGGUGAGUAACACGUGGACAACCUGCCUCAAGGCUGGGGAUAACAUUUGGAAACAGAUGCUAAUACCGAAUAAAACUUAGUGUCGCAUGACACAAAGUUAAAAGGCGCUUCGGCGUCACCUAGAGAUGGAUCCGCGGUGCAUUAGUUAGUUGGUGGGGUAAAGGCCUACCAAGACAAUGAUGCAUAGCCGAGUUGAGAGACUGAUCGGCCACAUUGGGACUGAGACACGGCCCACACUCCUACGGGAGGCUGCAGUAGGGAAUCUUCCACAAUGGGCGAAAGCCUGAUGGAGCAACGCCGCGUGUGUGAUGAAGGCUUUCGGGUCGUAAAGCACUGUUGUAUGGGAAGAACAGCUAGAAUAGGAAAUGAUUUUAGUUUGACGGUACCAGACCAGAAAGGGACGGCUAAAUACGUG